GGGCAGAGACUCAGGUUUAUCGUGCAGAAGAAGGCAAUGAUAAGAAAACUGAAGAAGAGGGGUGAAGUGGUUUGACCAGAGUCACCCCGCAGGCCAAGGGCAGAGCCCGGAUUAGAACUCAGGUCUUGGGAUGCCCGGGCCUGGGCUCUUUCCACCAGGCCACGCUGUCUCCACAUCCAGGGUCAUUCUCCAUCCCGGACAGGGGUCAGACCAGCUGGAAAUAGGACUCUGUGGAAGGAAGCUGGCCACACAGUCCCCCUCGCCAGUCCUGCACUGCAGCCACGUUCUAACAUUCGCCCCCGGGAAAGGUGUCCAAAAGCAGACCCACGGCAAAGAAUGACGGGAGGUGCCAUCACCCCAAUUCCCCAAACUCCUUAUCAUGACCAGCCUUUUCUUUGGCCUAAUUGUCAUGAGGAAAAGGGACAAAAUGGAACAAACCCGAUGUAGGCGACAUAAUAACCUGCCAAUAAGAAAGUGAGCUGGCCUGGGGAAAAGUUACUCUUUCUGUCUCCAACCCCGGGCAGCCUGGCUUGUGAAUUGUUGCUCUGCGGACACCGCGCUUGCUACCACACAUUAAUUUUAAUUACUCGUGUCCCGGACAUUGAAUUUUGAGGCAUCGUUAGUAGUACUGGCUCGUUAGUAGACCUGCUGCUACGUUCUAAGCAGGGAGGAUGGCAAUGUAAGAGCUUGUUCCACAGAAGGAAACAGCAGGGAGGGAAAUCACUCCAGAACAUCGUGACUUGAGGUCCCACCCUGACCAGCUCUGACAAGUGAUUUUUCCAUUUGAAUGCAGGCUGUCCCUGAGAGAAAAACAAAUACAGAUUGUGCUGGUCGGAGAGCAGAAAGGACGUUCGCAUCAAAC